AUUAAUUUAUUUCCGAUUGCAGGGCCGUAGCUACUAAUGGGCUUGGGCGGGCUGAGCCCUCCCUGGAAUCUUGCGAGCCCGCCCUGGAACUUCUAGAGUCCAUCGUGAAAUUCUGUUAGCUUAAAUACAUAUCAAUUGAAGUUGAUAAUAGAGACCUCUUAUGGCUUAUGGCUUAAGGUAUUUAUCAAUCUAAUUCUGUUUGUUCAUUUCCUGUGUAUAUCUUCUAAGUUCAUAAAAAAGUCUCGCUGCGCGGCUAUUUAACAGUUGAAACAAUUUUAAGUUUUAAUGAAGGAUGUUGUAGGAAAAGCAUUCAAGAUGCAAAUAGCAUUUUUUCCUUCAAACUUUGGCUAUCCGAAUCCCGAAUUACCUUUGAUGGACGUGUCAAGACAAAAACUUGUUUAGUUGCUUAAACACGUAAUUUU